CACUCCUGCGGGAGGCAGCAGUGGGGAAUUUUGGACAAUGGGCGAAAGCCUGAUCCAGCCAUGCCGCGUGCAGGAUGAAGGCCUUCGGGUUGUAAACUGCUUUUGUACGGAACGAAACGGCCUUUUCUAAUAAAGAGGGCUAAUGACGGUACCGUAAGAAUAAGCACCGGCUAACUACGUGCCAGCAGCCGCGGUAAUACGUAGGGUGCAAGCGUUAAUCGGAAUUACUGGGCGUAAAGCGUGCGCAGGCGGUUAUGUAAGACAGUUGUGAAAUCCCCGGGCUCAACCUGGGAACUGCAUCUGUGACUGCAUAGCUAGAGUACGGUAGAGGGGGAUGGAAUUCCGCGUGUAGCAGUGAAAUGCGUAGAUAUGCGGAGGAACACCGAUGGCGAAGGCAAUCCCCUGGACCUGUACUGACGCUCAUGCACGAAAGCGUGGGGAGCAAACAGGAUUAGAAACCCGAGUAGUCCCAUGAU
rnacentral:rRNA from 1 species